rnacentral:rRNA from 1 species
GUCACCAGCCACACCACCCAGAAUGUGCCUGAUCUCGUCUGAUCUUGGAAGCUAAGCAGGGACAGCCCUGGUUAGUACUUGGAUCGAAGCUACAUGGUAGCAAAUCAGAAGCUUUUUCCU